rnacentral:rRNA from 1 species
GACGAACGCUGGCGGCGUGCCUAAUACAUGCAAGUAGAACGCUGAGGUUUGGUGUUUACACUAGACUGAUGAGUUGCGAACGGGUGAGUAACGCGUAGGUAACCUGCCUCAUAGCGGGGGAUAACUAUUGGAAACGAUAGCUAAUACCGCAUAAGAGUAAUUAACACAUGUUAGUUAUUUAAAAGGAGCAAUUGCUUCACUGUGAGAUGGACCUGCGUUGUAUUAGCUAGUUGGUGAGGUAAAGGCUCACCAAGGCGACGAUACAUAGCCGACCUGAGAGGGUGAUCGGCCACACUGGGACUGAGACACGGCCCAGACUCCUACGGGAGGCAGCAGUAGGGAAUCUUCGGCAAUGGACGGAAGUCUGACCGAGCAACGCCGCGUGAGUGAAGAAGGUUUUCGGAUCGUAAAGCUCUGUUGUUAGAGAAGAACGUUGGUAGGAGUGGAAAAUCUACCAAGUGACGGUAACUAACCAGAAAGGGACGGCUAACUACGUGCCAGCAGCCGCGGUAAUACGCAGGUCCCGAGCGUUGUCCGGAUUUAUUGGGCGUAAAGAGCUCGUAGGUGGUUUGUCGCGUCGUCUGUGAAAUUCCGGGGCUUAACUCCGGGCGUGCAGGCGAUACGGGCAUAACUUGAGUACUGUAGGGGAGACUGGAAUUCCUGGUGUAGCGGUGAAAUGCGCAGAUAUCAGGAGGAACACCGGUGGCGAAGGCGGGUCUCCGGGCAGUAACUGACGCUGAGGAGCGAAAGCAUGGGGAGCGAACAGGAUUAGAUACCCUGGUAGUCCAUGCCGUAAACGGUGGGCGCUAGGUGUGGGUUUCCUUCCACGGGAUCCGUGCCGUAGCUAACGCAUUAAGCGCCCCGCCUGGGGAGUACGGCCGCAAGGCUAAAACUCAAAGGAAUUGACGGGGGCCCGCACAAGCGGCGGAGCAUGUGGAUUAAUUCGAUGCAACGCGAAGAACCUUACCUGGGCUUGACAUAUACAGGAUCGCGCCAGAGAUGGUGUUUCCCUUGUGGCUUGUAUACAGGUGGUGCAUGGUUGUCGUCAGCUCGUGUCGUGAGAUGUUGGGUUAAGUCCCGCAACGAGCGCAACCCUUGUCUUAUGUUGCCAGCACGUUGUGGUGGGGACUCGUAAGAAACUGCCGGGGUUAACUCGGAGGAAGGUGGGGAUGACGUCAAAUCAUCAUGCCCCUUAUGUCCAGGGCUUCACACAUGCUACAAUGGUCGGUACAGUGGGUUGCCAGUCCGUGAGGGCGAGCUAAUCCCGCAAAGCCGGUCUCAGUUCGGAUCGGGGUCUGCAACUCGACCCCGUGAAGUCGGAGUCGCUAGUAAUCGCAGAUCAGCAACGCUGCGGUGAAUACGAACCCGGGCCU